rnacentral:rRNA from 1 species
UGCGCAGGCGGUUAUAUAAGUCAGAUGUGAAAUCCCCGGGCUCAACCUGGGAACUGCAUUUGAGACUGUAUGGCUAGAGUGUGUCAGAGGGGGGGUAGAAUUCCACGUGUAGCAGUGAAAUGCGUAGAUAUGUGGAGGAAUACCGAUGGCGAAGGCAGCCCCCUGGGAUAACACUGACGCUCAUGCACGAAAGCGUGGGGAGCAAACAGGAUUAGAUACCCUGGUAGUCCACGCCCUAAACGAUGUCAACUAGUUGUCGGGACUUAAUUGUCUUGGUAACGCAGCUAACGCGUGAAGUUGACCGCCUGGGGAGUACGGUCGCAAGAUUAAA